UACAGAGGGGGCAAGCGUUGUUCGGAAUUACUGGGCGUAAAGGGCGCGUAGGCGGCCGCCUAAGUCAGACGUGAAAUCCCUCGGCUCAACCGGGGAACUGCGUCUGAUACUGGGUGGCUUGAAUCCGGGAGAGGGAUGCGGAAUUCCAGGUGUAGCGGUGAAAUGCGUAGAUAUCUGGAGGAACACCGGCGGCGAAGGCGGCAUCCUGGACCGGCAUUGACGCUGAGGCACGAAAGCGUGGGGAGCAAACAGG
rnacentral:rRNA from 1 species